rnacentral:rRNA from 1 species
UACGGAGGGUGCAAGCGUUGCUCGGAAUUAUUGGGCGUAAAGGGUAGGUAGGUGGUCUCAUUUGUCUGAGGUGAAAUCCUUGAGCUUAACUCAAGAAGUGCCUUAGAAACGGUGAGACUAGAGUUCUGGAGAGGGUCGUGGAAUUCCCGGUGUAGCGGUGAAAUGCGUAGAGAUCGGGAGGAACACCAGAGGCGAAGGCGGCGACCUAGACAGAUACUGACACUCAACUACGAAAGCGUGGGUAGCAAACAGG